rnacentral:rRNA from 1 species
UGGGGAAUAUUGCACAAUGGGCGAAAGCCUGAUGCAGCAACGCCGCGUGAGUGAUGAAGGCCUUCGGGUUGUAAAGCUCUGUCUUCUGGGACGAUAAUGACGGUACCAGAGGAGGAAGCCACGGCUAACUACGUGCCAGCAGCCGCGGUAAUACGUAGGUGGCAAGCGUUGUCCGGAUUUACUGGGCGUAAAGCGUGCGCAGGUGGUUGUGUAAGUCAGAUGUGAAAUCCCCGGGCUCAACCUGGGAACUGCAUUUGAGACUGCACGGCUAGAGGAUGGCAGAGGGGGGUAGAAUUCCACGUGUUGCAGUGAAAUGCGUAGAGAUGUGGAGGAAUACCGAUGGCGAAGGCAGCCCCCUGGGCUAUUACUGACACUCAUGCACGAAAGCGUGGGGAGCAAACA